rnacentral:rRNA from 1 species
AGUCGAACGACUUCUAGCCAUGAUGAAGUCGUGGCGUACGGCUCAGUAACACGUGGCUAACCUACCCUUGAGACGGAGACAACCCCGGGAAACUGGGGCUAAUCCCCGAUAAACGAGAACCCCUGGAACGGGUUCUCAUCCAAAAGGCAUCAAGGCCACGCUUCUUGGUGUCGCUCAAGGAUGGGGCCGCGACCGAUCAGGCUGUUGGUGAGGCAACGGCUCACCAAACCUAUAACCGGUACGGGCCGUGGGAGCGGGAGCCCGGAGAUGGGAACUGAGACAAGGUCCCAGGCCCUACGGGGCGCAGCAGUUGCGAAAACUCCGCAAUGCACGAAAGUGUGACGGGGCUACCCCGAGUGCCGUUCGCUGAGGAUGGCUUUUCCCCGGUGUAAGGAGCCGGGGGAAUAAGGAGAGGGCAAGUCUGGUGUCAGCCGCCGCGGUAAUACCAGCUCUCCGAGUGGUAGGGAUGAUUAUUGGGCUUAAAGCGUCCGUAGCCUGCCCUUCAAGUCUCUCGUUCAAUUCAACGAUUCAAUCGUUGGACUGCGGGAGAUACUGUUGGGCUAGGGGGCGGGAGAAGCCGACGGUAUUUCCGGGGUAGGGGUAAAAUCCUAUAAUCCCGGGAGGACCACCAGUGGCGUAGGCGGUCGGCUAGCACGCGCUCGACGGUGAGGGACGAAAGCUGGGGGAGCAAACCGGAUUAGAUACCCGGAUAGUCCCAGCUGUAAACGAUGCGGGCUAGGUGUUGGAGUGGCCACGAGCCACUUCAGUGCCGCAGGGAAGCCAUUAAGCCCGCCGCCUGGGGAGUACGGCCGCAAGGCUGAAACUUAAAGGAAUUGGCGGGGGAGCACCACAAGGGGUGAAGCUUGCGGUUCACUUGGAGUCAACGCCGGGAACCUUACCGGGGGCGACAGCAGGAUGAAAGCCAGAUUGAAGGUCUUGCUGGACGAGCUGAGAGGAGGCGCAUGGCCGUCGACAGGUCCGUGACGUGAGGUGAUCUGUUAAGUCAGGCAACGAUCGAGANC